rnacentral:rRNA from 1 species
UUUCGCAAUGCCCGAAAGGGUGAACGAGCGACGCCGCGUGCAGGAUGAAGGCCCUCGGGUUGUAAACUGCUGUCACAUGUUAAGAAUGGUCCCGCGUUAACAGCGUUGGACUUGACUAAGGCAUGAGAGGAAGCCACGGCUAACUUCGUGCCGGCAGCCGCGGUAAGACGAAGGUGGCAAGCGUUGCUCGGAAUUACUGGGCAUAAAGCGCGCGUAGGUGGCUUUGCAAGUCUGUGGUGAAACCCCAUGGCUCAACCGUGGAACGGCCGCUGAUACUGCAGAGCUUGAGGACGGUAGGGGAGAGUGGAACUCCUGGUGUAGCGGUGAAAUGCGUAGAUAUCAGAAGGAACGCCGGCGGCGAAAGCGGCUCUCUGGCCCGUAACUGACGCUGAGUGUGCGAAAGCUAGGGGAGCAAACGGGAUUAGAUACCCCGGUAGUCCUAGCCGUAAACGAUGGGCACUAAGUAGAGGGGUUUUA